rnacentral:rRNA from 1 species
UACGUAGGGUGCAAGCGUUAAUCGGAAUUACUGGGCGUAAAGCGCGCGCAGGCGGUUCUUUAAGUCAGGGGUGAAAGCCCAGAGCUCAACUCUGGAAUUGCCUUUGAAACUAGAGAACUUGGGUACGGGAGAGGUGAGUGGAAUUCCGAGUGUAGAGGUGAAAUUCGUAGAUAUUCGGAAGAACACCAGUGGCGAAGGCGGCUCACUGGCCCGUUACCGACGCUCAGGCGCGACAGCGUGGGGAGCAAACAGG